UACGUAGGGCGCAAGCGUUGUCCGGAAUUAUUGGGCGUAAAGAGCUCGUAGGCGGUUUGUCGCGUCUGUCGUGAAAGCCCACGGCUUAACCGUGGGUCUGCGGUGGAUACGGGGCAGACUAGAGGCAGGUAGGGGAGAAUGGAAUUCCCGGUGUAGCGGUGAAAUGCGCAGAUAUCGGGAGGAACACCGGUGGCGAAGGCGGUUCUCUGGGCCUGUACUGACGCUGAGGAGCGAAAGCGUGGGGAGCGAACAGG
rnacentral:rRNA from 1 species